GAUGAACGCUGGCGGCGUGCCUAAUACAUGCAAGUCGAGCGAACAGACGAGGAGCUUGCUCCUCUGACGUUAGCGGCGGACGGGUGAGUAACACGUGGAUAACCUACCUAUAAGACUGGGAUAACUUCGGGAAACCGGAGCUAAUACCGGAUAAUAUAUUGAACCGCAUGGUUCAAUAGUGAAAGACGGUUUUGCUGUCACUUAUAGAUGGAUCCGCGCCGCAUUAGCUAGUUGGUAAGGUAACGGCUUACCAAGGCAACGAUGCGUAGCCGACCUGAGAGGGUGAUCGGCCACACGGGAACGGAGACACGGUCCAGACCCCUACGGGAGGCAGCAGGAGGGAAUCUUCCGCAAUGGGCGAAAGCCUGACGGAGCAACGCCGCGUGAGUGAUGAAGGUCUUCGGAUCGUAAAACGCUGUUAUUAGGGAAGAACAAAUGUGUAAGUAACUAUGCACGUCUUGACGGUACCUAAUCAGAAAACCACGGCUAACUACGU
rnacentral:rRNA from 1 species